ACGUAGGUGGCAAGCGUUGUCCGGAUUUAUUGGGCGUAAAGCGAGCGCAGGCGGAAUGAUAAGUCUGAUGUGAAAGCCCACGGCUCAACCGUGGAACUGCAUCGGAAACUGUCAUUCUUGAGUGCAGAAGAGGAGAGUGGAACUCCAUGUGUAGCGGUGGAAUGCGUAGAUAUAUGGAAGAACACCAGUGGCGAAGGCGGCUCUCUGGUCUGCAACUGACGCUGAGGCUCGAAAGCAUGGGUAGCGAACAG
rnacentral:rRNA from 1 species